rnacentral:rRNA from 1 species
GGCGAGCCUGAUCAGCCAUGCCGCGUGAAUGAUGAAGGCCUUAGGGUUGUAAAAUUCUUUCAGCAGGGAAGAUAAUGACGGUACCUGCAGAAGAAGCCCCGGCUAACUCCGUGCCAGCAGCCGCGGUAAUACGGAGGGGGCUAGCGUUGUUCGGAAUUACUGGGCGUAAAGCGCUCGUAGGCGGAUUGGUCAGUCAGGGGUGAAAGCCCGGAGCUCAACUCCGGAACUGCCUUUGAUACUGCCAGUCUUGAGUUCGGGAGAGGUGAGCGGAAUACCGAGUGUAGAGGUGAAAUUCGUAGAUAUUCGGUGGAACACCAGAGGCGAAGGCGGCUCACUGGACCGAUACUGACGCUGAGGAGCGAAAGCGUGGGGAGCAAACAGGAUUAGAUACCCUGGUAGUCCACGCCGUAAACGAUGAGAGCUAGUUGUCUGGCAGCAUGCUGUUAGGUGACGCAGCUAACGCAUUAAGCUCUCCGCCUGGGGAGUACGGCCGCAAGGUUAAAACUCAAAUG